AUGACGGCCGUAGCAAACGGAUUCAUGCGCCAAGCCACAUAUCCCACUGAGACCCUCUGGAACGAAAAGCAAGAAAGAGCCCCUCACUCAUGUUUCCCGCUGUGCCCACCUGCAGUGCAUUGCUUUAGGACUUGACAGAUGAAAUCAACAUCUUCCCAAACUUCUCUGCUGGAAGACUGUCUGGAAUGUCUCCCCUUGGCCCUCUGGGGGAUGCUGCCCACUCCACAGGGCUCCCUGCAGCUCUGUCUGAUUAUAAAGCUUCUCCCUAAUGGGCAAGAUCUCACACAUGAUAGAGCCAUAAAACGUGGCACUCCUGGCUGGCCCUGCUGCUUGUCUGAUAAGGGAGAUCGAGGGACUCACCAGCACAGGCAGAGGGCCCCGGGUCUUACCCCACCCCCGUGCCUCCUCCCCACCCCUGCUGGUCUGGGCUUCCAGCAUGUUGGAAAGCCUGUUCUGCAGAACACAAAGCCCAUGUUUUGCAAUGAUGAGGAUUCCAUGUUCAAGAAAGGUUGGGAAAUCUCUCCUCUCCUAGGGAUUCAAAACACCCAUGAGCACAGUCAUGGCUGUGAGGAGGCUUCCCAUAAAGAAAACCUGCUCGCAUUUCCCUGGGACACAUUGCUGAAGCUUGUCACGGUGGUGAGAGAGACCUGUGGUCUCCUAGGAGGCGUGGAGCAGCCUUCCCACACUCUCUGCACUUACACAUCCUCGGGGGAUCUGGGCCAGGGGCAGAUUCUGGCACCUCAGGCCUCGGCUGAGGCUCCAGACGCUGUGUCUCUCACAAGCCCCCGGGGGACAGUGACGCUGCAGGUCCACAGGCCACAGGGAUCCAGAGUGGCUGCUGAUGAGAAGACAGAGCAUAAAGAGGUUAAACCAUGCCUAUGGUCACCCCUAUCUGGUGAAGCUGAGAUUUGA